GCGAAUGGGUGAGUAACACGUACUCAACGUACCCUUUAGCUUGAGAUAGCAGUUGGAAACAACUGAUAAUAUCAAAUACGCAUCUUUGUCGCAUGACGCAGAUGUAAAAGAACCUUCACGGGUUCGCUAAAGGAUCGGGGUGCGCAACAUUAGCUAGUUGGUGAGGUAACGGCCCACCAAGGCGAUGAUGUUUAGCGGGGUUGAGAGACUGAACCGCCACACUGGGACUGAGAUACGGCCCAGACUCCUACGGGAGGCAGCAGUAGGGAAUAUUCCACAAUGGACGAAAGUCUGAUGGAGCGACACAGCGUGCAGGAUGAAAGCCCCAUGGGUUGUAAACUGCUGUGGUAAGGGAAGAAAAAACCGAAGAGGAAAUGCUUUGGUCUUGACGGUACCUUAUUAGAAAGCAACGGCUAACUAUGUGCCAGCAGCCGCGGUAAUACAUAGGUUGCAAGCGUUAUCCGGAAUUAUUGGGCGUAAAGCGUCUGUAGGUUGUUUGUUAAGUCUGGCGUCAAAACUUGGGGCUCAACCCCAAAUCGCGUUAGAUACUGGCAUACUAGAGUUAUGUAGAGGUUAGCGGAAUUCCUUGUGAAGCGGUGAAAUGCGUAGAGAUAAGGAAGAACACCAAUAUGGCGAAGGCAGCUAACUGGACAUACACUGACACUGAGAGACGAAAGCGUGGGGAGCAAACAGGAUUAGAUACCCUGGUAGUCCACGCCCUAAACGAUGAUCAUUAGCUGAUGGAAAAUUCAUCGGCGCAGCUAACGCAUUAAAUGAUCCGCCUGAGUAGUACGUUCGCAAGAAUAAAACUUAAAGGAAUUGACGGGGAUCCGCACAAGCGGUGGAGCAUGUGGUUUAAUUUGAAGAUACGCGUAGAACCUUACCCACUCUUGACAUCUUCUGCA
rnacentral:rRNA from 1 species